UUGCACGCUGGCGGCAGGCCUAACACCUGCAAGUCGAGCGGAUGAAGGGAGCUUGCUCCUGGAUUCAGCGGCGGACGGGUGAGUAAUGCCUAGGAAUCUGCCUGGUAGUGGGGGAUAACGUCCGGAAACGGGCGCUAAUACCGCAUACGUCCUGAGGGAGAAAGUGGGGGAUCUUCGGACCUCACGCUAUCAGAUAAGCCUAGGUCGGAUUAGCUAGUUGGUGGGGUAAAGGCCUACCAAGGCGACGAUCCGUAACUGGUCUGAGAGGAUGAUCAGUCACACUGGAACUGAGACACGGUCCAGACUCCUACGGGAGGCAGCAGUGGGGAAUAUUGGACAAUGGGCGAAAGCCUGAUCCAGCCAUGCCGCGUGUGUGAAGAAGGUCUUCGGAUUGUAAAGCACUUUAAGUUGGGAGGAAGGGCAGUAAGUUAAUACCUUGCUGUUUUGACGUUACCAACAGAAUAAGCACCGGCUAACUUCGUG
rnacentral:rRNA from 1 species